rnacentral:rRNA from 1 species
AGUGAACGCUGGCGGUAGGCCUAACACAUGCAAGUCGAACGGCAGCACAGUAAGAGCUUGCUCUUACGGGUGGCGAGUGGCGGACGGGUGAGGAAUACAUCGGAAUCUACUUUUUCGUGGGGGAUAACGUAGGGAAACUUACGCUAAUACCGCAUACGACCUACGGGUGAAAGCAGGGGAUCUUCGGACCUUGCGCGAUUGAAUGAGCCGAUGUCGGAUUAGCUAGUUGGCGGGGUAGAGGCCCACCAAGGCGACGAUCCGUAGCUGGUCUGAGAGGAUGAUCAGCCACACUGGAACUGAGACACGGUCCAGACUCCUACGGGAGGCAGCAGUGGGGAAUAUUGGACAAUGGGCGCAAGCCUGAUCCAGCCAUACCGCGUGGGUGAAGAAGGCCUUCGGGCUGUAAAGCCCUUUUGUUGGGAAAGAAAAGCAGCAGGUUAAUACCCCGCUGUUCUGACGGUACCCAAAGAAUAAGCACCGGCUAACUUCGUG